rnacentral:rRNA from 1 species
AUUGAACGCUGGCGGCAUGCCUUACACAUGCAAGUCGAACGGCAGCACGGGAGCAAUCCUGGUGGCGAGUGGCGAACGGGUGAGUAAAGUAUCGGAACGUGCCCAGUCGUGGGGGAUAACGUAGCGAAAGCUACGCUAAUACCGCAUACGAUCUAUGGAUGAAAGCGGGGGAUCGCAAGACCUCGCGCGCUUGGAGCGGCCGAUAUCAGAUUAGGUAGUUGGUGGGGUAAAGGCCCACCAAGCCGACGAUCUGUAGCUGGUCUGAGAGGACGACCAGCCACACUGGGACUGAGACACGGCCCAGACUCCUACGGGAGGCAGCAGUGGGGAAUUUUGGACAAUGGGCGAAAGCCUGAUCCAGCCAUGCCGCGUGCAGGAUGAAGGCCUUCGGGUUGUAAACUGCUUUUGUACGGAACGAAAAGGACUGCCCUAAUACGGUGGUCCCAUGACGGUACCGUAAGAAUAAGCACCGGCUAACUACGUGCCAGCCGCCGCCGUAAGAC